rnacentral:tRNA from 1 species
UUUAUAAUAGUUUAAUAUUUAAAACAUUAUAUUUUCAUUAUAAAAAUAUUUCUUUAAAAAAAUUUAUAAAU